rnacentral:rRNA from 1 species
CAGCCGCCGCGGGAAUACGUAGGUGGCAAGCGUUGUCCGGAAUUAUUGGGCGUAAAGCGCGCGCAGGUGGUUUAAUAAGUCUGAUGUGAAAGCCCACGGCUCAACCGUGGAGGGUCAUUGGAAACUGUUAAACUUGAGUGCAGGAGAGAAAAGUGGAAUUCCUAGUGUAGCGGUGAAAUGCGUAGAGAUUAGGAGGAGCACCAGUGGCGAAGGCGGCUUUUUGGCCUGUAACUGACACUGAGGCGCGAAAGCGUGGGGAGCAAACAGGAUUAGAUACCCCGGUAGUCCCUGUCUCUUAUAC